rnacentral:rRNA from 1 species
GGGAAUAUUGCACAAUGGGCGCAAGCCUGAUGCAGCCAUGCCGCGUGUAUGAAGAAGGCCUUCGGGUUGUAAAGUACUUUCAGCGGGGAGGAAGGGAGUAAAGUUAAUACCUUUGCUCAUUGACGUUACCCGCAGAAGAAGCACCGGCUAACUCCGUGCCAGCAGCCGCGGUAAUACGGAGGGUGCAAGCGUUAAUCGGAAUUACUGGGCGUAAAGCGCACGCAGGCGGUUUGUUAAGUCAGAUGUGAAAUCCCCGGGCUCAACCUGGGAACUGCAUCUGAUACUGGCAAGCUUGAGUCUCGUAGAGGGGGGUAGAAUUCCAGGUGUAGCGGUGAAAUGCGUAGAUAUCAGGAGGAACACCGGUGGCGAAGGCGGGUCUCUGGGCCGAUACUGACGCUGAGGAGCGAAAGCGUGGGGAGCGAAC